UACGUAGGGCGCAAGCGUUGUCCCGGAAUUAUUGGGCGUAAAGAGCUCGUAGGCGGUUUGUCGCGUCUGUCGUGAAAAGCCCCACGGCUUAACUGUGGGUCUGCGGUGGAUACGGGCAGACUAGAGGCAGGUAGGGGAGAAUGGAAUCCCGGUGUAGCGGUGAAAUGCGCAGAUAUCGGGAGGAACACCGGUGGCGAAGGCG
rnacentral:rRNA from 1 species